GAUGAACGCUAGCGGCAGGCUUAACACAUGCAAGUCGAGGGGUAUAGUUCUUCGGAACUAGAGACCGGCGCACGGGUGCGUAACGCGUAUGCAAUCUACCUUUUACAGGGGAAUAGCCCAGAGAAAUUUGGAUUAAUGCCCCAUAGUAUAGUUUAUUCGCAUGAGUAGAUUAUUAAGGUUCCAACGGUAAAAGAUGAGCAUGCGUCCCAUUAGCUAGAUGGUAAGGUAACGGCUUACCAUGGCGACGAUGGGUAGGGGUCCUGAGAGGGAGAUCCCCCACACUGGUACUGAGACACGGACCAGACUCCUACGGGAGGCAGCAGUGAGGAAUAUUGGUCAAUGGACGCAAGUCUGAACCAGCCAUGCCGCGUGCAGGAUGACGGUCCUAUGGAUUGUAAACUGCUUUUGUACGAGAAGAAACACUGCUACGUGUAGCAGCUUGACGGUAUCGUAAGAAUAAGGAUCGGCUAACUCCGUGUCAGCCGCCGCAGUAA
rnacentral:rRNA from 1 species